GUGAAAUACCGAGAGAAUCGGAUCUGGCGCCUCCUAACGCAGCUGGCAAACAGGCGAAGGUCCCUUGCAGAUUGAAGUACUGGGGCAAGAAAGAGCAGAAUUACAUAACAGCCUGACACAGGCUUCGGUCAUGUGGGGAAGACUUCAAUUUAUAUCUAGAGUUCUGCAUUUUCUAAUAUCCUCUUCCCGUGCGAGGAUUGGAAGGAAACUUGGAAAUAACAGCAACUAUUCACGGCAGAGGACAGGCCUUUUGCCCUGGGGAGGCUAGGAUGUUCUGAAAUGAGGAAGACGGUUCUUAUUCCCAGCCUCAAGAGAGAAAUCUCCAAGACCACCCCUUGAGAGCAGGAAAAGUCUCUGGAAAGACUGACCUUGGGCUUGUUCGCUGCUUAUCCUCAGCCCCUAGGGCCUGGCUCUGUAAAAUAUGCUCAACAAAUGUUGAAUGAAUUCCUCAAGCACCAAAAUAUGUCUAUUAUCAGCCUGAAAAACAAACUUUAAAAUGUACCUCUUUGAAGAAGAUGCAAAGGUUCUAAGAAGCCCUGAUAAGUGCAACAGACAGAUGGUGUGCCUGGGGGAGGUGGUGCUCUACACGUUUCUAGCUCCAAAGCCCGGGCUCUGGAGCUGGAGUAGACUGCGUCUGCGGUUUCUGAGGCCACCUGGGAGCAGGGGACCAGCUGUCAUCGCCCUCGGCAGAGGCCUGCAAAGGUGCACUCCGCGUCAUCGCCCCAGACCCCCCUGUCUGGGAGGCCCCCUCAAGCUAGUGAUGCGGAGUCGGGGGAACGGGAGGCCACUAUUUGCAAGUGAGUGGGGCUUCCCCAAGGCAGGGUAGGGGCUCCAUCGCCAGCCUCUUUCAGUCUCCCUAUUUGAUGCCUGGAGGCUGGAGACCCAAAGGGUGGAAGGGGGCGGGGUGCA